rnacentral:rRNA from 1 species
AUUGAACGCUGGCGGCAGGCUUAACACAUGCAAGUCGAGCGGGGGAAGGUAGCUUGCUACUGGACCUAGCGGCGGACGGGUGAGUAAUGCUUAGGAAUCUGCCUAUUAGUGGGGGACAACAUUCCGAAAGGAAUGCUAAUACCGCAUACGUCCUACGGGAGAAAGCAGGGGAUCUUCGGAGCUUGCGCUAAUAGAUGAGCCUAAGUCGGAUUAGCUAGUCGGUGGGGUAAGUCCUACCAAGGCGACGAUCUGUAGCGGGUCUGAGAGGAUGAUCCGCCACACUGGGACUGAGACACGGCCCAGACUCCUACGGGAGGCAGCAGUGGGGAAUGUUGGACAAUGGGGAGAACCCUGAUCCAGCCAUGCCGCGUGUGUGAAGAAGGCCUUAUGGUUGUAAAGCACUUUAAGCGAGGAGGAGGCUACUGAGACUAAUACUCUUGGAUAGUGGACGUUACUCGCAGAAUAAGCACCGGCUAACUCUGUGCCAGCAGCCGCCGUAA